UCAAAAUGCCUCCAACCCUGUCACCUGCCA
rnacentral:piRNA from 1 species